rnacentral:rRNA from 1 species
AAUCAACGCUGGCGGCGUGCCUAACACAUGCAAGUCGUACGAGAAAGUGGAGCAAUCCAUGAGUAAAGUGGCGACCGGGUGAGUAACACGUGACUACCUACCUUCUAGUGGGGGAUAACUCCGGGAAACCGGAGCUAAUACCGCAUAACAUCGCAAGAUCAAAGCAGCAAUGCGCUGGAAGAGGGGGUCGCGGCUGAUUAGCUAGUUGGUAGGGUAAUGGCCUACCAAGGCAAAGAUCGGUAUCCGGCCUGAGAGGGCGCACGGACACACUGGAACUGAAACACGGUCCAGACUCCUACGGGAGGCAGCAGUGGGGAAUUUUGCGCAAUGGGGGAAACCCUGACGCAGCAACGCCGCGUGGAGGAUGAAGUCCCUUGGGACGUAAACUCCUUUCGACCAAGACGAUUAUGACGGUACUGGUGGAAGAAGCACCGGCUAACUCUGUGCCAGCAGCCGCUGUAAAAC